AAUGCGGUGGGAAAGGACGUAGCAAAAAGGAUGAGGGCGUUGGGCGCUUCUGAGAUAUUUUCAAUUUGGGAAGGUGAUGUGGAUGGUGGUGAUAUAGACGAGGUCUUUGAGGCUUGGAGUGGGAAGGUGCUGAGGUUUUUGAAGGGUGGUGUGGCUGAAAAUGGUGGGGUUUUGAGUAAUGGGGUUGGUGCUGAAUGCGAAGCUGAGAGUUUUGAUGGGUCAGACGAGGAUGAGGAGGAGGAAGAUGAUGUGGAGUCGGAGGUUGUUGAUCUUGAGGAUAUUGCAGGUAAAGGACCUUCAAGAAGGAGGACAGUGACGGUGACCAAAACUAAUGGGACGGUGAAUGGUCAAAAAGAGAUGGUCACUCCAGUGAUUCGGGCAAGCUUAGUAAAACAGG
rnacentral:lncRNA from 1 species